AUGGUCUGCUGGAUCCUGCUGCUCAUCAGCCUGACCCCCUUUACCUGGGGAACAUUUGUAGUGACUGUGACACAGAGCUCCUAUCAGGCAGAGGAGAACCACGACAUCACACUGGACUGGACCUUCACAACCACAGCUCACAUGUCUCUCUCAGCAGUUUACAUCUUCUGUCAACUGAUAACUGAGGACAAAGACCCAGUCCUGUUUCAUCUACAUGAGGGUGUUGAGGUCCCAGAGUCUCAGGACAAACAGUUUUCAGGACGAGUCCAGUUUGACAAAGACGUCCUCAGAGAAGGACGAGUCAGACUUCAUGUGUCCAGACUCAGGACUGAGGACUCUGGUCUGUACUGGUGUGAUGUGAAGACAGAUGAUGGAACAGGUUCUGGCAAAUGUCUCCUCAACGUCACAGCAGCGAGGGACUGGUCUGACCCUGAGAGAGAACCUGAGAGACCAGACGCAGCAGGUUGGAGAUGGAUCGUCCUCAUCUGUGGACUGGGACUGACAGCAGCAGCAGCAGCUGGACUGACUGUGUGUUACUGUUUCUUCAAUAAUACUCAAACUGGAAAAAAAGAUUCAAAUCCAGAGCCCAGAGGUAGAAAUGAAACAAAUUACAUCUCAGGUUCUACAUCAGAGGAACCAGUUUGAUCAACAGAAUCAGACCAACCCUAAAGUCCAUUUUCCAGCUCAGACAGAAAUCAGUGGUUUGUCAUUGGCUGCAGGUCAGAAAACUGCACAUCAGGACACAUCAGACAAACCAGCAGGUAACCUGAGCAGCAACUUGAUGCUUCAUGUUAAAGUCUCACUGGGUCUGAAACAACUUUCUGGCUCAGGAAAAGUGAAGAGUCUGUGUCUGAAAAACUCCACUCAUUGCUCUUUUUAUACGUAGAAGGCAGAGUUGACUUUGACCAGAGGUGGGAAGUAAAGAAGUACAAAUACUUUGUUAUUGUACUUAAGUAGAUUUUUCAGCUACCUGUACUUGAGUAUUUAUUUUUCUGAGGUGAUAAGGUGGAGAUACAGGAAGCUGCUUUCUAUAUUGAACAAUAAUAAACACUACCUACAUGAUAUACUGACUAAACAGGAGCAGCUGCAGACCUGAGAGGUUGAGGAGAUCCUUUGUCCACACAGGCAUUCGACUGUUCAUUAGUAAUUGCUGAUAUGUUAUAUGUUAUUGACUGGGUGCCUUUAUCUGUUUAUUAUAUUUUAUAGUGGAAUUUCUGUGUUAAAGUGACUAUAAGAGCUGCUGGACAAUCUGAAUUUCCCCUAUGCAUGAAGUAUCUACACUGCUAAAAAAAAUAAAGGGAACACUAAAAUACCACAUCCUAGAUCUGAAUGAAUGAAAUAUUCUUAUUAAAUACUUCGUUCUGUACAUAGUUGAAUUUGCUGACAACAAAAUCACACAAAAAUCAUCAAUGGAAAUCAAAUUUAUUAACACAUGGAGGUCUGGAUUUGGAGUCACACUCAAAAUUGCAGUUGAAAAACACACUACAGGCUGAUCCAACUGUGAUGUAAUGUUCUUAAAACAAGUCAAAAUGAGGCUCAAUAGUGUGUGUGGACUCCACGUGCCUGUAUGACCUCCCUACAACGCCUGGGCAUGCUCUUGAUGAGGUGGCGGAUGGUCUCCUGAGGGAUCUCCUCCCAGACCUGGACUAAAGCAUCUGCCAACUCCUGGACAGUCUGUGGUGCAACGUGGCGUUGGUGGAUGGAGCAAGACAUGAUGUCCCAGAUGUGCUCAAUUGGAUUCAGGUCUGGGGAACGGGCGGGCCAGUCCAUAGCAUCAAUGCCUUCGUCUUGCAGAAACUCUUGACACGCUCCAGCCACAUGAGGUCUAGCAUUGUCUUGCAUUAGGAGGAACCCAGGGCCAACCGCACUGGCAUAUGGUCUCACAAGCGAUCUGAGGAUCUCAUCUCGGUACCUAAUGGCAGUCAGGCUACCUCUGGUGAGCGCAUGGAGGGCUGUGCAGCCCUCCAAAGAAAUGCCACCCCACACCAUUACUGACCCACUGCCAAACCGGUCAUGCUGGAGGAUGUUGCAGGCAGCAGAACGUUCUCCACGGCAUCUCCAGACUCUGUCACGUCUGUCACAUGUGCUCAGUGUGAACCGGCUUUCAUCUGUGAAGAGCACAAGGCGCCAAUGGCGAAUUUGCCAAUCUUGGUGUUCUCUGGCAAAUGCCAAACGUCCUGCACGGUGUUGGGCUAUAAGCACAACCCCCACCUGUGGACGUCGGGCCCUCAUACCACCCUCAUGGAGUCUGUUUCUGACCAUUUGAGCAGACACAUGCACAUUUGUGGCCUGCUGGAGGACAUUUUGCAGGGCUCUGGCAGUUCUCCUCCUGUUCCUCCUUGCACAAAAGCGGAGAUAGCGGUCCUGCUGCUGGAUUGUUGCCCUCCUACGGCCUCCUCCACAUCUCAUGAUGUACUGGCCUGUCUCCUGGUAGCGCCUCCAUGCUCUGGACACGAUGCUGACAGACACAGCAAACCUUCUUGCCACAUCUCGCAUUGAUGUGCCAUCCUGGAUGAGCUGCACUACCUGAGCCACUUGUGUGGGUUGUAGACUCCGUCUCAUGCUACCACUAGAGUGAAAGCACCGCCAGCAUUCAAAAGUGACCAAAACAUCAGCCAGAAAGCAUAGGAACUGAGAAGUGGUCUGUGGUCACCACCUGCAGAACCACUCCAUUAUUGGGGGUGUCUAUAAUUUCCACCUGUUGUCUAUUCCAUUUGCACAACAGCAUGUGAAAUUGAUUGUCAAUCAGUGUUGCUUCCUAAGUGGGCAGUUUGAUUUCACAGAAGUGUGAUUGACUUGGAGUUACAUUGUGUUAAGUGUUCCCUUUAUUUUUUUGAGCAGUGUAUCUUUGUGUCUUUACCUUUACUUUCACUUCCACACACUAAAGGAAACAGCACAGACAAUGUUCUGUUGGUCAGUCAUCUGCCAGUGGCCAAGGUGUUGUAGAGCCUGACAGCAGUUUUUUGUGAGUCCAGUCACUAAAGGAUUUUACCAGGCCUCUGUUCUCUUCCUGUCCAUUCCUGACACAUGCAACAAGAGAGUCGAUGUGCUGCAGCGUCAAACGUGCUGAGUUCACUGGGUCUGUCCAAACGUGUAAAAACAAGUUGUAGAGACACUGAAA
ensembl:lncRNA uncharacterized LOC113140858